GUAUCUAAAGGGUUAUGCCCCUUCUGAAGUCUCUAGGGAAAAUCUUUUCCUUGACUUUUUCACUUCUGGAGGCUUCUUGCAUUUCUAGGCUCAUGGCCCCUUUCCUCCAUCCCUAAGACAGCAGCAGCCCCUGCUUUAUUUUGCAUGGUUUCUCUCUGUCCUUAAAACUGACCUCAGAUUUCAUACAGAAUAUCUGAAUGAAACAAAGGCAAAGCUUUACUGGUGAGCAUGAGAUGACAAGUCUUUGCUUCAUAAUUGUCAUAACAGAAAGAAACUGUAUCCAUUAGCUACCCAGCAGGACCUUGACCUCUUUAAGAUCCAGGGAUGGGUUGACAGGAAAGGAAAGUGGAGUGUAAACCAGUGCUUCAAAACCAGCAGCUGCCACAAACUGUAGUGACCUUUCAGUGUCCUGCCGACUUCCACUCUCUUGCUUCCAGCAGGAGUUAGAAUCUAACAUUUCUUUACAAUGGCCUCUCUAACUUCUUGGACUCAAGUGUCACAGGACUCAAUGAAGAUGUCAGCAUGCUACGUUUCUCUCUGAAAGCUCUGGAAGAAAAGCAGUUUCUUUGUCUUUCCCAGUGUCCACAAGCUGCCAACAUCCUUGGCUUAUAGCCCUUUUCCAUCUUCAAAUCCAGCAAUGAAGAGCACCAGUAUGGACCCAGGAAGGACUGAAAGGCAGUAAAGGGCACACUAGGACUCUGUAUGAAGAGAGAAAGAAGAUACAGCGUCUUGCUAUGUACACAGUUUACAAGACCACAUUCGCAUUCCAAUGACAAUGAAAGGAAGAAGCAAAGAACUCCGUUCCCGCAACCUUGGCAAAGUCAUUUCCCAGUUCCUGCACUCACUUUCCUUAUCGUGGCAAAAUGAAGGGCUGGAUUAGAAGAGAGAAUCUUUACGAAUCUUUCCAAUUUUUAACUCCAUUCAAUUCAACAAACAUUUGCCGAGUGGAUACUAUGUUGCAGUCACUGUGCUACACAGCUCCCAGCUGUAUAAUUUUUGUUUUAUUCCAUCGAAAACUAGAGUCAGGUGUCAGUUUGUUCCCAAUAUACCAGACAGAGACAGCAAUUUUCACCAGAGAAGAUCUCGAUGUGUUUUGUGCUAGAUCUGACUUUAAUUAAGUGUAGACCAUGCUCCCAUCAGUGCUGGAAUUGGCCCGUGUAACUUGCUUUAGCUAAUGAAAUGUUACCAAACACAACAUGAUCAAAGGCUUGAGAGAUGAUUUCCCUCCUGUGGUUCCGCAAUUGCCAUGGAAAGAACAUGGUCUGGUGGUCCCUGAUCCCUAAAGAAUGAAAGAUACAUGGAAUAGGCUUGGCAUAAAUGUGCAGUUUGGAGUCAAGCCCAACCUAGAUCAGACAACAUUUAGCCAACCUUCAGAUUCAUGAACAAUAAUAAAUAAUUUUUGUUUUAA